GACGAACGCUGGCGGCGUGCCUAAUACAUGCAAGUCGAGCGAAGUUUUUCUGGUGCUUGCACCGGAAAAACUUAGCGGCGAACGGGUGAGUAACACGUAAAGAACCUGCCUCAUAGACUGGGACAACUAUUGGAAACGAUAGCUAAUACCGGAUAAUAGCAUUAACUGCAUGGUUGAUGUUUAAAAGUUGGUUUUGCUAACACUAUGAGAUGGCUUUGCGGUGCAUUAGCUAGUUGGUGGGGUAAAGGCCUACCAAGGCGACUAUGCAUAGCCGACCUGAGAGGGUGAUCGGCCACACUGGGACUGAGACACGGCCCAGACUCCUACGGGAGGCAGCAGUAGGGAAUCUUCCGCAAUGGGCGAAAGCCUGACGGAGCAACGCCGCGUGAGUGAAGAAGGAUUUCGGUUCGUAAAGCUCUGUUGUUAGGGAAGAAUGAUUGUGUAGUAACUAUACACAGUAGAGACGGUACCUAACCAGAAAGCCACGGCUAACUACGU
rnacentral:rRNA from 1 species